rnacentral:rRNA from 1 species
GACGAACGCUUGCGGCGUGCUUAACACAUGCAAGUCGAACGGAAAGGCCCUGCUUUUGUGGGGUGCUCGAGUGGCGAACGGGUGAGUAACACGUGAGUAACCUGCCCUUGACUUUGGGAUAACUUCAGGAAACUGGGGCUAAUACCGGAUAGGAGCUCCUGCUGCAUGGUGGGGGUUGGAAAGUUUCGGCGGUUGGGGAUGGACUCGCGGCUUAUCAGCUUGUUGGUGGGGUAGUGGCUUACCAAGGCUUUGACGGGUAGCCGGCCUGAGAGGGUGACCGGCCACAUUGGGACUGAGAUACGGCCCAGACUCCUACGGGAGGCAGCAGUGGGGAAUAUUGCACAAUGGGCGGAAGCCUGAUGCAGCAACGCCGCGUGCGGGAUGACGGCCUUCGGGUUGUAAACCGCUUUCGCCUGUGACGAAGCGUGAGUGACGGUAAUGGGUAAAGAAGCACCGGCUAACUACGUGCCAGCAGCCGCGGUGAUACGUAGGGUGCGAGCGUUGUCCGGAUUUAUUGGGCGUAAAGGGCUCGUAGGUGGUUGAUCGCGUCGGAAGUGUAAUCUUGGGGCUUAACCCUGAGCGUGCUUUCGAUACGGGUUGACUUGAGGAAGGUAGGGGAGAAUGGAAUUCCUGGUGGAGCGGUGGAAUGCGCAGAUAUCAGGAGGAACACCAGUGGCGAAGGCGGUUCUCUGGGCCUUUCCUGAUGCUGAGGAGCGAAAGCGUGGGGAGCGAACAGGCUUAGAUACCCUGGUAGUCCACGCUGUAAACGGUGGGUACUAGGUGUGGGGUCCAUUCCACGGGUUCCGUGCCGUAGCUAACGCUUUAAGUACCCCGCCUGGGGAGUACGGCCGCAAGGCUAAAACUCAAAGGAAUUGACGGGGCCCCGCACAAGCGGCGGAGCAUGCGGAUUAAUUCGAUGCAACGCGUAGAACCUUACCUGGGUUUGACAUGGAUCGGGAGUGCUCAGAGAUGGGUGUGCCUCUUUUGGGGUCGGUUCACAGGUGGUGCAUGGCUGUCGUCAGCUCGUGUCGUGAGAUGUUGGGUUAAGUCCCGCAACGAGCGCAACCCUUGUUCACUGUUGCCAGCACGUUAUGGUGGGGACUCAGUGGAGACCGCCGGGGUCAACUCGGAGGAAGGUGGGGAUGACGUCAAGUCAUCAUGCCCCUUAUGUCCAGGGCUUCACGCAUGCUACAAUGGCUGGUACAGAGAGUGGCGAGCCUGUGAGGGUGAGCGAAUCUCGGAAAGCCGGUCUCAGUUCGGAUUGGGGUCUGCAACUCGACCUCAUGAAGUCGGAGUCGCUAGUAAUCGCAGAUCAGCAACGCUGCGGUGAAUACGUUCCCGGG